rnacentral:rRNA from 1 species
GACGAACGCUGGCGGCGUGCUUAACACAUGCAAGUCGAACGGAAAGGCCCUGCUUUUGUGGGGUGCUCGAGUGGCGAACGGGUGAGUAACACGUGAGUAACCUGCCCUUGACUUUGGGAUAACUUCAGGAAACUGGGGCUAAUACCGGAUAGGAGCUCCUGCUGCAUGGUGGGGGUUGGAAAGUUUCGGCGGUUGGGGAUGGACUCGCGGCUUAUCAGCUUGUUGGUGGGGUAGUGGCUUACCAAGGCUUUGACGGGUAGCCGGCCUGAGAGGGUGACCGGCCACAUUGGGACUGAGAUACGGCCCAGACUCCUACGGGAGGCAGCAGUGGGGAAUAUUGCACAAUGGGCGGAAGCCUGAUGCAGCAACGCCGCGUGCGGGAUGACGGCCUUCGGGGUGUAAACCGCUUUCGCAUGUGACGAAGCGUGAGUGACGGUAAUGGGUAAAGAAGCACCGGCUAACUACGUG